rnacentral:rRNA from 1 species
UACGUAGGGAGCAAGCGUUGUCCGGAAUCAUUGGGCGUAAAGCGCGCGUAGGUGGCUUCGUAAGUCCGUUGUGAAAGUCAAAGGCUCAACCUUUGAAAGCCGAUGGAUACUGCGGAGCUAGAGUACGGAAGAGGCGAGUGGAAUUCUGGUGUAGCGGUGGAAUGCGCAGAUAUCAGGAGGAACACCAAUAGCGAAGGCAGCUCGCUGGGACGUUACUGACACUGAGGCGCGAAAGCGUGGGGAGCGAACAG